rnacentral:ncRNA from 1 species
UAAAAUCCGAUGAACAGAAAAAGUAACUGGCGGAAACUUGUCAAGCGAGCCGGCGGUCGGUGUAAGGUCCGGUACAAAGGAAUCCGGUGAAUGGUUCUGUGAGGAGCAGGGUGAAAGGGGUUGACCCAAGUAGCCUGUGCCGUCUGUCCCGGCGUUAUCAGGGAAGGGUAUUGAUACAACGGUGUGAGCCGGAGUUGCGUACCUUGAAGGAGGGAAAUCUGCUUAGCGGAUAAGCUUGAUUUCCGAAAUGGGUGGCACCGCGAGCUAUAUCGCCCCAGUA